rnacentral:rRNA from 1 species
GAGUUUGAUCUUGGCUCAGGACGAACGCUGGCGGCGUGCUUAACACAUGCAAGUCGCGGGGGUGAGCAAUCACUCACCGGCGAACGGGUGCGUAACACGUGAGCGACCUGCCCACUUGUGGGGUAUAGCCGGCCCAACGGCCGGGUAAUCCCGCAUACGCUUCGUCUGGCUGCAUGGCCGGGGGAGGAAAGCCGUAAGGCGCAAAGUGGAGGGGCUCGCGGCCUAUCAGCUAGUUGGCGGGGUAACGCCACCAAGGCUAUGACGGGUAGCUGGUCUGAGAGGAUGGCCAGCCACAUUGGGACUGAGAUACGGCCCAGACUCUACGGGAGGCAGCAGUGGGGAAUCUUGGACAAUGGGGGCAACCCUGAUCCAGCGACGCCGCGUGGAGGACGAAGGUCUUCGGAUUGUAAACUCCUUUUAGGGGGACGGAAU